rnacentral:rRNA from 1 species
CCUACGGGAGGCAGCAGUGAGGAAUAUUGGUCAAUGGGCGGAAGCCUGAACCAGCCAAGUCGCGUGAGGGAUUAAGGCCCUGCGGGUCGUAAACCUCUUUUGCCGGGGAGCAGUGGUCCGGACGCGUCCGGACCGGGAGAGUACCCGGAGAAAAAGCAUCGGCUAACUCCGUGCCAGCAGCCGCGGUAAUACGGAGGAUGCGAGCGUUAUCCGGAUUUAUUGGGUUUAAAGGGAGCGUAGAUGGGUUGUUAAGUCAGUUGGGAAAGUUUGCGGCUCAACCGUAAAAUUGCAAUUGAUACUGGCUGUCUUGAGUACAGUUGAUGUAGGCGGAAUUCGUGGUGUAGCGGUGAAAUGCGUAGAUAUCACGAAGAACUCCGAUUGCGAAGGCAGCUUACUAAACUGCCACUGACAUUGAGGCUCGAAAGUGUGGGUAUCAAACAGGAUUAGAUACCCUGGUAGUC